rnacentral:other from 2 species
AGAAAUCUGAGAUGUGCGCGGUAUUUACUAAGUGUUGACCGAACAAUUAAUGACUUUUUAGGGAUUCAGAUUGUUGUUAUGGAUAACAAGCCAUUGCACUUGGAAGUUAAGAAGUAACUCAUAGAAGCCCACCUGCUUAGAAUGCGGGUUCAAAACUAUCAAAUACAUCAAACGGCAUCACCGGAAAUCUA